rnacentral:lncRNA from 1 species
AGAGGUGAAAAAGAAGGGCUCCUAUCUGGGUCAGGCUUGGGAGAGAGAGCUCCACCCCUCCCCAGGCUGGACAAGUACUAGAGAGAAAACUGCAGGUGGAGAAUUUGUGAUGCAAAACUGGUGGCCUAAGCAGGAGUCUUGGGGUAAGGGGGAUGCCGGGGAGUGGAGGCCCCUUGUCCGGUGUGCAGCAGCUGCCCCUUGCACUGACUGUCCCCUCCCCACCCUCCGUGGUGGAGUGAGAUGGAGAAGCUGGCUUAUGAAGUGGCUCUUGUCAGGGAAGGAUGGGACUGUCAGCAGCCCAGGGCUUCUGGCCCUGAAUAACUAACCGGGGAAGCUUGGCCCGGCUGCUGGCUGAGGUGGGGAAAGCCAGGGCCUGCCUUGAGCUCCAGAUCUGCCAAUCACUGGGCUCUGGUGGGCCAGGAGCCAGGCCCUAUGGGGCUCAGGGUGUUGGCCUGUGCCCUGGAGUGGAGCAGGGUAUUUGGUGGACCGCAGACACUGCGUGUUUGUGUAGGAGCAGCCUAGCUCACACUCUCAGUGGACAGGGUCCAGGUGCUAGAAACAGGCAGAGUGCCUGCUGAAGUGGACCCCUCACUGGUGGAGAGCAUUUUUGAGGUAUAGGAAGGAGUCUGUGCUUCUUGCAGGGUUCCAAGGGGCCUGACUCUUCUGUGCUUUGUGUUGUUUCAAUUUCUUACAAGCUUUUUUUUUCUUUCUGUUUUUCUUUUCCUUUUUAAAACAAAGUCUAGUCUGUCUCUGCUUAGUUCAUAAAGAACAGACAGAGGGUUUUAUUUCUGCCAGGACCAGUUAUAUAGAG